CGGCCAUUAGUCAAGGUCCGCGGCCCAGGACUUGCGAAGGAAGCAGGCAGGGUGGAGGGGCACGUUCCCGGAGUCGCGGGAGAAUGAUGGCCCUCAGACCGCAACGCGGAGGAUUGGGGAUUGGAAGCCGCGGCAGAUAUUUGGGGGUCCAUAUUUCCUCAUCUCCCUAGUGUCUAAAGUUUAAAGAAAGCCAGGCGCAGGAGGGAAGACUGAAGAGGCAGGGGUCCGGAGUCUAGAGACCGGGAGGCAGCGGUUUCAAAGUGGCAUCCAGUGGACGGUCGGGAUUCGGCGAGUCCCCCGCGGAAUCGGCCAGAGAGAAGAGAGAGAGCAGAGGCAGCGGAGCUGCGAGGCCGGCGGGCUGAGCGAAGACGGCGUUUGGACCUGGUUCCACUCUCUCCGAAAAGGAGCUUGGAUUUCUGCCUCUGCUCGCAGAGACUCGCGGCACCCCGAGGCCCCUGGCUCGGAUUUCCUGUGCUUAGAUAUUAUUCAGGAAAAUAUAUUUUAUCCCAAGAAUAUUUUUUAAAGUUCUCACUGUAACGCUAAAUAUAUGCUUAGAGAAAAACUCAGCUCUCCCUCCUCGGCUCUCUUGUCCGAAGCACAGAUCCAAGUCAGCUCUAAAAAG